rnacentral:ribozyme from 12 species
CAUCUUAGGCAAAAAAACAGCUUUUUCAGAAAAAAAGAAAAAAGAAAAGAAAAAAAAAGAAAAAGAAGU